CAGGCCUAACACAUGCAAGUCGAGCGGCAGCGCACCCUUCGGGGUGGCGGCGAGCGGCGGACGGCUGAGUAACACGUAGGAAUGUACCCCAAAGUGAGGAAUAACUGCCCGAAAGGGUAGCUAAUGCCGCAUAUGAUCUUCGGAUUAAAGGCUUCGGCCGCUUUGGGAACAGCCUGCGUACGAUUAGAUAGUUGGUGAGGUAAUGGCUCACCAAGUCGACGAUCGUUAGUUGGUCUGAGAGGAUGACCAGCCAGACUGGAACUGAGACACGGUCCAGACUCCUACGGGAGGCAGCAGUGAGGAAUCUUCCACAAUGGGCGAAAGCCUGAUGGAGCAACGCCGCGUGCAGGAUGAAGGCCUUCGGGUCGUAAACUGCUUUUAUGAGUGAAGAAUAUGACGGUAACUCAUGAAUAAGGGUCGGCUAACUACGUGCCAGCAGCCGCGGUAAU
rnacentral:rRNA from 1 species